GGUGGGUUGGCUCAGUGGUUAAGCGUAGGUCUCGUAACCGAAAGGUUGCGGGAUCGAAUCCCGCUAGAGGCUG
rnacentral:tRNA from 1 species